GCUGGCUGUCAGGAACUGUGGCCGGCCUACAGCUGCUGCUGAUGGUGACAACAGCACACACAAAUGCCACUCCAGGCCUGGGGGUGGGGUGAGUGCCCGGACAAGCGGAGACACACGGAGACCUGCCUUCUCCGCAGGCCACUCCACAGCCUCCGUGAGGAUGGGCGGGAGGGCGUUCCCUCCGUUUUCCUGGGAAAACACUGUGUGCCCAGCGCUGCCCAGGGCAUGAGGGUGACCAAGAACAACUGCCAUUGAGACAAACUCAGGCCAUCGUCUCCUGUGGCUCCCCUGAGCUCUGGCAGGACCUGACGGAGGGAGUCCUGCCCGUGCCUGGCUGGACAAGUGUGCUGUCCCGCACGCUGCACAGCACAGCCCUUCCCAGGCUGCACCCUCAGCACCGGGGAACAUCCCGGCUUCUGAGCGAGCAGUGGGCUCAGCCAACAAGACAGACAACCGUAAGAGCCGCCGCACAGACGGCAUGCUUGUACUAAAAGGGAUGCUACACAGACUCUACUGACCUCUCCUACUUCCCAUUUGAAAUUUGCUCUUAAAAAGACAGAACAUCCUGGCUGGCUUGACUCAGUGGAUAGAGCACCGGCCAGCGGAUUGAAAGGCCUUGGGUUUGAAUCCAAUCAAGGGCACAUACCCAGUUGCAGGCUUGAUCCCCAGUAGGGGGCGUGCAAGAGGCAACCAGUCAAUGAUUCUCUCAUCAUUGAUGUC